rnacentral:rRNA from 1 species
AACGAACGCUGGCGGCAUGCCUAACACAUGCAAGUCGAACGAGACCUUCGGGUCUAGUGGCGCACGGGUGCGUAACGCGUGGGAACCUGCCCUUAGGUUCGGAAUAACUCCCCGAAAGGGGUGCUAAUACCGGAUAAUGUCUUCGGACCAAAGAUUUAUCGCCUUUGGAUGGGCCCGCGUUGGAUUAGCUAGUUGGUAGGGUAAAAGCCUACCACGGCGACGCUCCAUAGCUGGUCUGAGAGGAUGAUCAGCCACACUGGGACUGAGACACGGCCCAGACUCCUACGGGAGGCAGCGGUGGGGAAUAUUGGACAAUGGGCGAAAGCCUGAUCCAGCCAUGCCGCGUGAGUGAUGAAGGCCGUAGGGUUGUAAAGCUCUUUUACCCGGGAUGAUAAUGACAGUACCGGGAGAAUAAGCUCCGGCUAACUCCGUG